GGGCCAAUGGUCUAGGUGGUUAUGAUGUCGCCUUGACAUGGCGAUGACCGCCGGUUCGAAUCCGGCUUGGCCCA
rnacentral:tRNA from 1 species